UACGUAGGGUGCGAGCGUUGUCCGGAAUUAUUGGGCGUAAAGAGCCUGUAGGCGGUUUGUCGCGUCUGCUGUGAAAUCUCAAGGCUCAACCUUGAGCUUGCAGUGGGUACGGGCAGACUAGAGUGUGGUAGGGGAGACUGGAAUUCCUGGUGUAGCGGUGAAAUGCGCAGAUAUCAGGAGGAACACCGAUGGCGAAGGCAGGUCUCUGGGCCACUACUGACGCUGAGAAGCGAAAGCAUGGGGAGCGAACAGG
rnacentral:rRNA from 1 species